rfam:Pteropus alecto contig85803, whole genome shotgun sequence.
GUCUAUAGCCACGCUACCCUGAACAAGCCCAGUCCUGUCUGAUCUCAGAAGCUAAGCAGAGUCAGACCUGGUUAGUACUUGGAUGGGAAACCACUUAGGAAGACCAGGUGCUGUAGGUG